GCUUAACACAAGGUAUAGCUCAGUUGGUAGAGCAUGAGACUUUUCAUCUCAGGGUCAUGGGUUUGAGCCCCAUGUUAGGUG